GAGUACGUGAAACUGUGUGGUGGUAAACGGAGGGGUUCUCGAAGUUUCCGUGGGGAACUCAGCCUUGGUGCUGCGCAGCCCUGUGGUGUCCGAUCAGCAAUGACGGCUCUGCUUGGCUGGCGUAGCUCUCGGGUGCAUUUCCCCCGCGGUUUACGGCAGGAACUGUUUGGAGCGCACCGAAGGCCCUGGGUGAAGUUGUCGGUUCUGCUGGCAGCCCCGGGUGUCCUGGCUGCGCGCCAGACGGGUACGUGAGAGGACUCGUAUAGCGAGCAAUGCUCUGUUGCGGUUCUCAUCUCUCUGCCGAGUAGGUCGGUGGCCCCUCCGACCCGUCUUGAAACACGAACC
rnacentral:rRNA from 1 species